GAUGAACGCUGGCGGCGUGCCUAAUACAUGCAAGUCGAGCGAACAGACGAGGAGCUUGCUCCUCUGACGUUAGCGGCGGACGGGUGAGUAACACGUGGAUAACCUACCUAUAAGACUGGGAUAACUUCGGGAAACCGGAGCUAAUACCGGAUAACAUGUUGAACCGCAUGGUUCAACAGUGAAAGACGGUCUUGCUGUCGCUUAUAGAUGGAUCCGCGCCGCAUUAGCUAGUUGGUAAGGUAACGGCUUACCAAGGCAACGAUGCGUAGCCGACCUGAGAGGGUGAUCGGCCACACUGGAACUGAGACACGGUCCAGACUCCUACGGGAGGCAGCAGUAGGGAAUCUUCCGCAAUGGGCGAAAGCCUGACGGAGCAACGCCGCGUGAGUGAAGAAGGUCUUCGGAUCGUAAAACUCUGUUAUUAGGGAAGAACAAAUGUGUAAGUAACUAUGCACGUCUUGACAGUACCUAAUCAGAAAGCCACGGCUAACUACGUG
rnacentral:rRNA from 1 species